AACGAACGCUGGCGGCAUGCCUAACACAUGCAAGUCGAACGAGACCUUCGGGUCUAGUGGCGCACGGGUGCGUAACGCGUGGGAACCUGCCCUUAGGUUCGGAAUAACUCCCCGAAAGGGGUGCUAAUACCGGAUAAUGUCUUCGGACCAAAGAUUUAUCGCCUUUGGAUGGGCCCGCGUUGGAUUAGCUAGUUGGUAGGGUAAAAGCCUACCAAGGCGACGAUCCAUAGCUGGUCUGAGAGGAUGAUCAGCCACACUGGGACUGGGACACGGCCCAGACUCGUGCGGGAGGCAGCAGUGGGGAAUAUAGGACAGUGGGCGAAAGCCUGAUCCAGCAAGGCCGCGUGAGUGAUGAAGGCGUUAGGGUUGUAAAGCUCUUUUACCCGGGAUGAUAAUGACAGAACCGGGAGAAUAAGCUCCGGCUAACUCCGU
rnacentral:rRNA from 1 species